CUACCCGGGUUUCUAAUCCUGUUUGCUCCCCUAGCUUUCGCACUUCAGCGUCAGUUUCUGUCCAGUGAGUUAUCUUCAUCAUCGGCAUUCCUACACAUAUCUACGAAUUUCACCUCUACUCGUGUAGUUCCACCCACCUUUCCAGUACUCUAGUUUUUCAGUUUCAAAGGCAAGCUUAUGGUUGAGCCAUAAGUUUUCACCCCUGACUUGAAAAACCGCCUAGAUGCCCUUUAAGCCCAAUAAUUCCGGAUAACGCUUGCGACAUACGUAUUACCGCGGCUGCUGGCAC
rnacentral:rRNA from 1 species